GACGAACGCUGGCGGCGUGCUUAACACAUGCAAGUCGAGCGGUAAGGCCCUUUCGGGGGUACACGAGCGGCGAACGGGUGAGUAACACGUGGGUGACCUGCCCUCAGCUCUGGGAUAAGCCCGGGAAACUGGGUCUAAUACCGGAUAUGCCUCCAUGACGCAUGUUGUGGGGUGGAAAGCCUUGUGCGGCUGAGGAUGGGCCCGCGGCCUAUCAGCUUGUUGGUGGGGUGAUGGCCACCAAGGCGACGACGGGUAGCCGGCCUGAGAGGGCGACCGGCCACACUGGGACUGAGAUACGGCCCAGACUCCUACGGGAGGCAGCAGUGGGGAAUCUUGCGCAAUGGGCGAAAGCCUGACGCAGCGACGCCGCGUGAGGGAUGACGGCCUCGG
rnacentral:rRNA from 1 species